AAGUGGGACAAUCAUUUUGGCUACUUAUUAAAUAUGUCAACUUAACGCUCAACACUAAAAUUAUACAGCAAAAGCUUCAAGCUCUAAUUAUUGCUUUGUAGCCCAUGUGACAUAUUGUUUGUCUUUGUAGUUUAAAGUCAUAGCUUGUGGGCUUUGUUGAGAAAAUACAGUGAGGAAAAGGUAUCCCAACAACCAAGCGUCCAAAACCUACAUACUGCUCCCUCAGAGCUUCAAAUAUAAAUGGAAAAUAGUGAAGGACAGUGAAGAGCAACACAGAAGUCACAUCCAUUCGGUUAAACUGGUCUCUGGGUCAGUACAUCAUCACUGGUGCAUUUAUUACCACACAUUUUGAUGCUUUAUACUUGGCUUCAAAUAUUUACGGCAGAUGCACUGUGUGAUGCUUUGUCAGUUUUUCAAUAAAGGUAAAGACAGCAACUGAGGUAUGUACCUA
rnacentral:lncRNA from 1 species